UUAAGUACCAAGCUCUUGAUUGGAUCCAAUCCUAGACAUGCCCACAACCAUUGCCACACUUUGGUGCGAGGUUAGGUUUUGAGAAAAACGAGUUGGAAUUCAUUUAAGUAGAUAUUUUUGAUAAAUCGAUUAAUUGUAUCGUUGCAUUAUUUUGAAAGCAAGUAUCGUUUUGGAAACGCCCCCUAAGUCUAACCCAUUUUGGAUUGUUAUCAGUAAAAUAUAGGGUAUAAAAUAAAAUAAUCCCAGAAAAAUAAUUAAAAUGGCCUUAUUACAACCUAAAACCAAAACAUAAUAUUAAUUAAGAUAAAACUUAUAAAGAAAUAAAUUGGCUACUUAUUGCAAUUAAAAGAAACAAAAAUAGUAGUGUGGCCAUCUCCGAGUCCCUUGCAGCUCCAAACCAUCUAAGCUUAGGGAUUACCUACACAGUUAGAAACGGGGUGAGUUUACGAAAACUCAGUGUGUAAUCCUAAUAACAUACAAACAGUGAAAACCCAGUAUCAGUACAAUCUGGGCCAAAGCCCUAUUUAGUCUUGACAUAUACUGGGCCGAAGCCUUUCGUUUAAUGGUUACAGGGUCGAAGCCUUUUCAUAAAUCAUAUCACUGGGCCGAAGCCUUUACUGUAAACGGUAUGGCCCAUAAGCCCAUUUCAAUAUCACAUGUAAUGUCAAUGGAUGUAUGCAAGCCCAUUUCAAUAUCACAUGAAAUACCAAUGAAUGUAUGCAAGCCCAUUUGGGGAGACUACUCGACCCACCGUUCACUACUCUCCACCCGUACCAACCAAGCUCUCCAUGUGGGGAAUAACUCAACCCACCCAACCAAACUCUCCACUGGUAGCAUAGCUGCUUUAUCAUAUAACUGGAGGCCUAGCCUCUUUUAAUAACUGGGGCAAAGCCCUUUCUGAUAAACUGGGGUAAAGCCCUUUUCAAUAAACUGAGGCAGAGCCCUUUUUGCACUUCCUCCAUCAAUAUAACCCAUAUCCCAUGCAAUAUGUCAUGUAUGCAGAAUGUCAUGCCCAUAUUUGCAUCAAACAAUCACAGUCAAGUCAUUCAUAUCACCAACAUAUAUUCACAAUCAAAUCCGUCAACCACACAGUCCAAGUCAGUCACUUGCCCACAAGGGCAAAACAGUCAUUUUUCUUAUUAUAAGGGUAAUUUCGUAAUUUUACCAAAUAUCAGGUUUUCCAUGUUCAUUAACAAUUAUCAAUAUUUUCGAGUGUUUAAACAAUGAUCUUUAACCCACUUUAUCAAAUUCGGGCUUUUGGGCCCAAAACUCCUAAUGGGCGCUACGAAUGCUGAUUUAGCCCACUAAGCCUACUUAAUCCAAAUUUUACAACAGUACUAACCGUGUUAACAUGCAACUUUUCCAGAUUCCAUUUUCUAUCAGUUUUACCCAAAUGGGCCCGAUUCCAGCCCAUUGAGGCCCAACUUACCAUCGUGCACAAAAUUGCGCUCUUACCUGCUCCAUCAUCCAAACACUGAUCAUAUUGUAUCUAUUGCAUCUUUAAGAAAAGGCAAAAUCACAAGUUCCCGAAAUGUCAAAAUUUUAGCUUUUCGGCUUUUCGGCGAAUAUUAAUCUAAGCUACUGCGAGGGUUAUUACACACCUGUUAUGGGUUGAAGUUGAAACGUUUCCAAAAUCAAUCACCUACAAUAACCACCACCUAUCACUCAAACUUAACUAAUCCAAUAUCAAUAUAUGUAAAUCCUAAGCACAUCAGUCAUACGAAACAUAAGGGCAUAUUCGUCAUUUUACCAUACAAGGGUAUAACGGUCACUUUACCCUACAGGGGCUUUACGGUCUUUUUACCUAUUAGGGGUAUUUUAGUCAUUUCAUCCUACAAGGGUGUUUUGGUAAAUCUACAAACCAAGGGUAUUUCAGUAAUUUUGUAAACCAAUGGUAUUUCUAUAAUUUUUAAAAAGUCAAAGGUAUUUUUGUAAUUUUGUAAAUCUGGGGUAUUUUGGAAAUUUUACAAAUUAAGGGUAUUUUGGUAAUUUCACAAACCAGUGGUAUUUUGGUAGUUUUACAAACUAGGGGUAUUUUGGUAAUUCUACCGUAUAGGGGUAUUUCAGUAAUUUCACAAUCGAGGGUAAAACAGUAAUUUUGUAAAUCAAGGGUAAAAUAGUAAUUCUGUAAAUCAAGGGUAAAAUAGUGAUUCUAUAAAUCGAGGGUACUUUGGUAAUUUUACAAGUCGAGGGCAUUUCUGUAAUUGGUAAACUAUUCUAAACAGGGAUAACAAUACGAAUGGUCCUAAAGCCCAUUCUCGGCCCAAAUGGGCCCACACGCUCGUGUAGCCUUUUUAGCCCAAAUCUAGCCACAAAUAUGAGAUUCAGCUAGCCUAGUCCAAUAUUUACUACACAGUCAAACAACUUAUCCAAUUGGGCUCGUAGGCCCAUUGGGCCCACAUGGCCCCUUUCGGCCCAUCGCGGCCCGAAGUAGCCAUCCUAUAACUAGAGUAGUGAGAAAUACACACCUGAUAGGAGACUGGAGUUAAUCCACGCUCCGAGCACUCUUAGCCGACGCCCAACCCAAACGAGCAUGCCAUACAGCGAAAGGGAUCAGCCAAGAAAGGGU
rnacentral:lncRNA from 1 species